AAGUAAUUAUGUCAUGACAUUAUUACAGGUAUGGCCAGGUAAUGUAGUAUUUCCUGACUUCAAGUAAUUAUAUCAUUACAUUAUUACAGGUAUGGCCAGGUAAUGUAGUUUUUCCUGACUUCAAGUAAUUAUAUCAUUACAUUAUUACAGGUAUGGCCAGGUAAUGUAGUUUUUCCUGACUUCACAAACAACAGAUCCUUUGAUUACUGGACACAGCUUGUAAAGAGUUUCCAUGACAAAGUACAGUUUGAUGGAAUGUGGAUUG
rnacentral:lncRNA from 1 species